UACGGGAGGCAGCAGUGGGGAAUAUUGGACAAUGGGGCAACCCUGAUCCAGCCAUGCCGCGUGUGUGAAGAAGGCCUUUUGGUUGUAAAGCACUUUAAGCAGGGAGGAGAGGCUAAUGGUUAAUACCCAUUAGAUUAGACGUUACCUGCAGAAUAAGCACCGGCUAACUCUGUGCCAGCAGCCGCGGUAAUAUAGAGGGUGCGAGCGUUAAUCGGAAUUACUGGGCGUAAAGCGAGUGUAAGUGGCUCAUUAAGUCACAUGUGAAAAUCCCCGGGCUUAACCUGGGAACUGCAUGUGAUACUGGUGGUGCUAGAAUAUGUGAGAGGGAAGUAGAAUUCCAGGUGUAGCGGUGAAAUGCGUAGAGAUCUGGAGGAAUACCGAUGGGCGAAGGGCAGCUUCCUGGGCAUAAUAUUGACACUGAGAUUCGAAAGCUGGGUAGGCAAACAGGAUUAGGAUAACC
rnacentral:rRNA from 1 species